rnacentral:lncRNA from 1 species
UUCAUAGAUAGGUAAUGUCCAUUUCAUAACUGAAUCAUUUAUACUGGCAAUAAUAAAUUCUCUUUAUUUAUCAAAGAUUGAAUAUCAACAAUCGACCAUUCCAUUAUAGGCUCAGCAUUUGAAAUUGAAAGCAAGCAGUCAAUUCCGGAUAAACAAUCUGACCAGAGACACUCCUACUCCAAGGAAUAAAUAUACAUUUGAUGAUUUGAGUUGCUUUCUUUCUAGAGCAAAAACAGGAGUCUCUUCAAUUCUGUUUCUUCUUGCGAAUGCAUUGCAGAAACAAACAUUCUUCUGCAAGCCUCAAUUUAAGGGGGAAAAAUGGAAAAAACACACAUCCCUUAGAGGUUUGAAUUAACUCAAAGUCCACAAGAAUCACAAACCAGAUGACAACUACAACUUGAACAAAGACAAGCCUCCAGUAAAUUCAUUCCAAAGUUCCAAUUACCACAAGUUUGAAGCAGCUUCCGAGAUGGGAAGCACAGGAACAUUUCAAGAAAGUAUAGUGACCACCAAACAUGAUCAUGAAUAGGAUUCAUUACUUAUUAGGUAUCAAAGAAUAAGAACACAGAUACGUAAAAUCUAAUUUUGCAGUUGGAUCAAUUUAGUUGUAAUGAAAAAUUUCAGGCCCUUAAAUUAAAAUUUCAAAUGCAAACAAUGGACUAAUAAUUUGAUAGUCAAAUACGUAAAAACAAAAUAUAUUAAAUAAGUAAUUUGGUAUAAUUAACUCAAAUUAAUUUGGAAAAGCAUAAAACCUUUUAAUGAAAUGUUUGAUGGCAUGAAGAUAAUUGAAAUGGUUGCCAUACUAUUAUAAAUUCUCUCAUAUUCGCAUAAGCCUUAUUUUCUCAAGUCUGCAUAGCUAUGAUUGUUAUUAUUAUUAUUUUUUUUUUUUAUUGGGAUAGAAAUUUAGAUUCAAUAAUGUACGGGUAAAACGUUUAUACUAAAACUUAAUUCCAAACUAGUUGAGAUUCCAAACUAUUCCACCGACUAUAUAAAUCCUUCGUCUCCAUUUGCUCAGUUCAUAGAUAGGUAAUGUCCAUUUCAUAACUGAAUCAUUUAUACUGGCAAUAAUAAAUUCUCUUUAUUUAUCAAAGAUUGAAUAUCAACAAUCGACCAUUCCAUUAUAGGCUCAGCAUUUGAAAUUGAAAGCAAGCAGUCAAUUCCGGAUAAACAAUCUGACCAGAGACACUCCUACUCCAAGGAAUAAAUAUACAUUUGAUGAUUUGAGUUGCUUUCUUUCUAGAGCAAAAACAGGAGUCUCUUCAAUUCUGUUUCUUCUUGCGAAUGCAUUGCAGAAACAAACAUUCUUCUGCAAGCCUCAAUUUAAGGGGGAAAAAUGGAAAAAACACACAUCCCUUAGAGGUUUGAAUUAACUCAAAGUCCACAAGAAUCACAAACCAGAUGACAACUACAACUUGAACAAAGACAAGCCUCCAGUAAAUUCAUUCCAAAGUUCCAAUUACCACAAGUUUGAAGCAGCUUCCGAGAUGGGAAGCACAGGAACAUUUC